rnacentral:rRNA from 1 species
UACGAAGGGGGCUAGCGUUGCUCGGAAUCACUGGGCGUAAAGGGUGCGUAGGCGGGUCUUUAAGUCAGGGGUGAAAUCCUGGAGCUCAACUCCAGAACUGCCUUUGAUACUGGCGAUCUCGAGUCCGGGAGAGGUGAGUGGAACUGGCGAGUGUAGAGGUGAAAUUCGUAGAUAUUCGCAAGAACACCAGUGGCGAAGGCGGCUCACUGGCCCGGUACUGACGCUGAGGUGCGAAAGCGUGGGGAG